AGAAGAAAAUUACCACGCCGGAGCCAACAACAUUCCCAAACAACAGGCCAUGAGAGCAGCUUUGUGCGUCCGCCCCGCCUCCAGGCGCGACUCGAAGGCUGAGAGAAAAUCGACUUUGUGACUUAUGCCAGUUGUUUCCCCUCCGGUUCUGAGCAGCGGCCCACACGGCUCGGCCGUUUGGCUCGGAGGGAACUGGCUCCCGGCCAGAUCCACAAGACAAAACUGCUAAAUGUGACAAAAAUUAAAGCCGUGCUGCUGAGGAAUGUGUUUUUCUUGGAAAGGGAGCGAGAUUAGCACAUGGUGUAGCUCCCUCAAAGAAGGAAAAAAAUUUUCCAGGGAUAACCUGAGGAGACGAGUUGGUUUUGACUUAAAUUACCCAAUCGUCUUGCUUUUCACGGCAGAAAGAACAUUAUGUCCCAUGAAGGUGAUAUGAGUCUGAUGUAAACACAGUCGAAGGAGGAAAAGGGGCGUCGGCGUCAGAUGUCCUGGAUUAUGACGAAACGUAUCGAAGGAGGAGGAGCGGCUGGGAUAACUCAGGGAGCUGCUGCAGUGAGUUUCCUAAAGGUUCCCAAAGCUUCAAACUUUCCUCCAUAUUUACGUAUUUUAACUUUUUAGCUUCAAGCUUGAUGUCAGAAUUAUUUUCUCUGAUAACACUGAAAGCAGUUCCAUGAAAACCCCUCAGAACUUUUUCACUUUUUAUCAAGUUGCAACCACAAACUUGAUCAGAAUCAGAAUUUCUUAAUGAAUAAAAAUCUGAAAAGUGUGGCGUGCAUUUCUAUUUAGAUCCCGUCUGAUACACUGAAAUAAAAUCAGUGUAACUGUUUGAAAAUACAUGUAUGUAACUCAAUUACAAUAUAAACACACCUUUUAAAAGCAAAUUAGUACUGAUUUUACAAGCCUCGUCUCUUUGUAGUCGUAUUAAUGAUGGAUACAGAAGACUAUUCAAAGUGAUCAUCAAAAUUCCUGUGUAACUAUCAACCUAUUAUUAUAAUUAGUGCAUUCAAUUCAAUUCCAGACAUAUGAAAAGGAAAAUGAUUUAGAUUCCAAUAGAGAAACUAAAAGGCUGGUAAAAUAAAAAGUGAAAGAGAAAUAAAACCUAAAAGCACCCGAGGAAAUUAAAAUUAGACUAGCUGUUUAUAGGAUGGGAAAAUGAAAAUCCUGCUUUUAAAAACUGCAGCUAUGUAUCUGAGUUGAAGAGACGUUAGUCUUUGUCUUUUCUCGUGUUUAAGGAACAUAUCUGUUUAAAAUGCUAUAAGAGCUAAAUUAUUUUACUUUAUCCCUUACAUAAAAUAUUAAAUAAAAAUAUUUAUGGAGAAAAUUAGAGGCUGAAAACUGAAAUCAGAUUCAAACGUUCACUUAAACAAGCAAAACGUUUAAAUGUGGAGUUGUGGGGAAAAUAAACGUUUGGUAAAUUCAAGGUUGUGGUUUUGAUUCCACAUUUCCUCACCAAAUGUUGAAGCUUCUUUCUGUAAAAAAAGAAACUUCAGAGAAAGUCGUGUAAUUAAAGUGUCAAGGAAAGUAAUACGUAAACAUUAUUGGCAGAUGGUUCAACUUUAUCCUUGGUAAAUUUUAUUUUCUGGCGUCUUAACUUCCCAGCAGACAAAAAUCUUACUGGUUUCAUGAAGAUUUGGAAACACAUCUGCACUUCAUUAGUCUGUACCUUUAGAAAAUGGGUCAAAUAAACCACAAAACCUAAAGAAAUAAAAUUAUUAAUCUAAUUUACAAACACAUCUUCUCAACUAAAUGGUCUAAAAAUAAACCAUUUAAUAAAGAGCAACUAAAUGUUACUUUGAAGAGAAUAA